rnacentral:tRNA from 1 species
GGCUAUAGCUCAGUGGCAGAGAACCUGCUUGGCAUGCGUGAGGCACUGGGUUCAAUCCUCAGUACCA